rnacentral:rRNA from 1 species
CACGUAGGAGGCGAGCGUUAUCCGGAUUCACUGGGCGUAAAGCGCGUGCAGGCGGUUUGGUAAGUUAGGCGUGAAAGCUCCCGGCUCAACUGGGAGAGGUCGUCUAAUACUACCAGACUAGAGAGCAGAAGAGGAAGAUGGAAUUCCGGGUGUAGUGGUGAAAUGCGUAGAUAUCCGGAGGAACACCAGUGGCGAAGGCGAUCUUCUGGUCUGUUUCUGACGCUCAGACGCGACAGCUAGGGUAGUAAAC